rnacentral:rRNA from 1 species
UACGAAGGGUGCAAACGUUAUUCGGAAUCACUGGGCGUAAAGGGUGCGUAGACGGUAUGUUAAGUUCGUUGUUAAAGGCUUCGGCCCAACUGAAGUAUUGCAAUGAAAACUGGCAAACUAGAGGAUGAGAGAGAGAAGUGGAAUUCCCGGAGUAGCGGUAAAAUGCGUGGAUCUCGGGAGGAACACCAAUGGCGAAGGCAGCUUCUUGGCUCAUAUCUGACGUUGAGGCACGAAAGCGUGGGGAGCAAACAGG